rnacentral:rRNA from 1 species
CCUACGGGAGGCAGCAGUGGGGAAUAUUGCGCAAUGGGCGAAAGCCUGAACCAGCCAAGUAGCGUGAAGGAUGACUGCCCUAUGGGUUGUAAACUUCUUUUAUAUGGGAAUAAAAUGUUCCACGUGUGGGAUUUUGUAUGUACCAUAUGAAUAAGGAUCGGCUAACUCCGUGCCAGCAGCCGCGGUAAUACGGAGGAUCCGAGCGUUAUCCGGAUUUAUUGGGUUUAAAGGGAGCGUAGGUGGAUUGUUAAGUCAGUUGUGAAAGUUUGCGGCUCAACCGUAAAAUUGCAGUUGAAACUGGCAGUCUUGAGUACAGUAGAGGUGGGCGGAAUUCGUGGUGUAGCGGUGAAAUGCUUAGAUAUCACGAAGAACUCCGAUUGCGAAGGCAGCUCACUGGACUGCAACUGACGCUGAGGCUCGAAAGUGUGGGUAUCAAACAGGAUUAGAUACCCCGGUAGUC